CCCAAUUUGAUGCGAAAAUUUUUCAGGCCUUGGAACUGAUUCCCUUUACAAUUUCAGGGGCCUUCUGAUGUAUUAAGCCUUUCCAUAAACGUUCCAAUUUAUCUCCAUAAGUUUCCAUACCACAUUAUUGCUAUCUGCCUAUAUAUUCACAUAAUUGCUUCUCACUCUCCCCAUGGUCCCAUUCCCAUCUUACUCACUCUCUGCCUCACUCCCUCACUCAUUCUCUUUCUCUUUCACUCUCUCAACUCUCUUCCUCACGCCCUCACUCACUCUGUCUCAAAGUCUCACUCUUCAUCUCCACAAGACCACAACCACAUCCACACCACAUGCAUGCAUGCAUGCUUCUCAGUUCUCACUCACUCUCUGUCUCAAAGUCUCACUCCUUCACUCUCACAGUCACACUCCCACCGGUCACACGCCCACACCGCCGCUCCCUCUUCACUCACCCACCGUUUCAUCCUCCUUCACCCACUGUGCCAUGGUCCGUCAGCCCCCUUCCUGACUCACCCCCUCACCCACAGGCCACAAGACGAUUAGGGACAGAGUCAAAGAGCUUUACAAUACCUCAGAGAGAAAGAGACUUCGAAAUUGAGGGAGAAGCAACCGAUCGGAAGAAGGGUGAAGCAACCGCCCCUGAUUAACCACUACCUGUAGUUCGGUGGCUAUGGGAUUAUCCAAGAUAUAGUUCACAGUCAUGUGCUCCAAACAAUUGCAUUGCUUGCUAUGGAACCACCAGUUAGCCUUGAUGGAGAAGAUAUUCGAAAUGAAAAGGUUAAGGUUCUGAGAUCAAUUCGCCAAUUAGAACCUAAGGAUGUCAUUCUUGGCCAGUAUAAAGCAAGUAGCGGGAACAAGGUUGAUGCAUGCAUCAAUGGUCUGACACCUACUUAUUUUGCUGCUGCACUAUACAUCGACAAUGCACGAGUGAGUGACACAACCUACAAAGAAUGAGCAAAUGGCUGGAGCUGGAGCACCCAAUUCAAACAACAGUGGCCAUAGGUUAAAAUUAAAUGGCAGAGUUGCCAUAAUCACCGGCGGUGCCAGCGGAUCGGAAUCGGCGAAGAGACGGCGCGUCUGUUUGCCGAUGAAGGUUCACGAAUGGUGGUAGUCGCAGACAUUCAAGAUGAUCUCGGCAACCAAGUGGCAGCAUCCAUUGGCUUUCACAGAUGCACCUAUGUCCACUGUGACGUAGCAGACGAGGAUCAGGUUCAACACUUGGUGGAGUCAACGGUCAACGCUCACGGCCACGUUGACAUCAUGUUCAACAACGUCAGCAUCCUUAGCCCUUCCAAACAGACCGUCCUGGACCUCGACUUCUCCGAGUACGACCGCCUUAUGUCGGUGAACACGCGAGGCAUGGCGGCGUGCGUGAAGCGGCGCGUGGAUCUGUCUCCUUUGCUUUUAUUUGAUGUAUCCUCGUUUCCUUUACUUAUGCCCCCCACAGUAAACUAUAAUGAGUUUUUUGGUUUGUUUGUUCAUCCUGGUAAAAAACAUAGAAUUUCAUGAAAGGCUGUCCCCCCAGCCCUCUAUGACCCAUAUUGUAUGCGUCAGACACGGUGGUGCUUCUACCUGUAGGUUGUAGGAGUCAUGCUGAGAAGGUUGUACUAAUGUCAAGUGUCUAUAAUGGUCAAAUGGCAUAUGAUGGCUGCAACAGAAAAUCUCAUAUCAUAACAUUCAAUAUAGUAACCAAGACUUCAAAGUACAAGAAGUAUCUAUGACCACGGAACCUUCAAAGCUAACAACCGAUCGACGUUAGAGAUUUACGUUCUUAAAGAACGAACUCACGAUCGCUUCAUCGUCUCAUCAUUAGUUUAGCUGACUCAACUUGCUUAGAUAAUAACAAUUUAAACACAAUUACUUUGAAUUCGAAAAUCUUCAAAACCAAAAUAAUAUUCAAGAAAAGCAAGAGUUAAAUAGCAUAAAUCAACUUGAAUAGAAAAAUUGAAUUUAUUAAGAACUGAACCUUUGGUUCGCAAACACAAGAAUAUGAAAAAUUCUA